CUCGUAGGUGGCCAACUAAGUCACACGUGAAAUCCCUCGGCUUAACCGGGGAACUGCGUGUGAUACUGGAUGGCUUGAGUUUGGGAGAGGGAUGCGGAAUUCCAGGUGUAGCGGUGAAAUGCGUAGAUAUCUGGAGGAACACCGGUGGCGAAGGCGGCAUCCUGGACCAAUACUGACGCUGAGGAGCGAAAGCCAGGGAGCAAACG
rnacentral:rRNA from 1 species